rnacentral:lncRNA from 1 species
CAAAACUAGCACUUUUUACAUUUAACAUUUGGGAACGGAGGUAGUAGUACGUAGUAACCAUAUCAUGAGGUGAUAAUUUGGCAGUGAUAUCUUAAAUAGUAAACAUAUCCUAAAUUGAUGAGCUGGCACUAACUUAUGAACCACAUAUCAUGAAUGAAUUGAUAAUUUGGGAGUACUAAACUUAAAUAGUACUACUCUACGUACCAUAUUCAAGAAUGGACACCUGUAAUAAUCAAUAGAUCAUAAUCUACUUGAUGCGCUUAUUCAAUAACUUCUCAUAUCAUGGGAAUUAAUCACAGGGGUAUACAUUGCACUUAAUUCGAUAAUAAAUAGUUACGUCGGCAAUAAUUUAGGAUCAGGAGAAGUACUAAAUAAUAAUAUGCGCACAGAUCAGUAUGCUAUAAAACCUACCCGCUAGCUAGUCAUAACCAAGCCCCAUCUCCAUCAACCCGCUUAGUAAGUUCGUCCAGAUUCUGCCAGUUGCAAUGUCUCUUCUUGUGAUUUCUUCGGGUAAAAGAUUUCUCCUGGGAGGUUACGAUAUUUUGUUUAGUUCUCGCUCUCUUUAUAUAUUAGUUCAUUAAAUUAAAUGAUGUAUUAAUUGUUUCUUUCACGUUCUACAAUAAUCAACUUCGACAAAAAAAAAAUACAUGGAAAUUUGCAAGUAAAAAGGUUCCCACAAAUAUAAUUUGAAACCACAUGAAUGCCGUAAUUAACCACAUAUGAAUGUGGCAACAGUCCCAGACUUGUCGACCCAAUCUGUUUAUUUCCUUUCGACCCAAUCCUAAGUCGAACAUAUAAGAAAAAGAAUCGAGCUUGGUUGGUGUCUCGAGUUCUUUUUUCUAGCCCUAAUUUGGAUAAUUGAUUUCUUGAAAAAGAAAAGAAAAAAUAAAAGGCAUCACAAUAGGCUUACAUGCACAUGAUCGAUGAUGUCACAUGAGAUAAUUGACAUGGUACCACUAUGCAAAAUCAAAUGUUUCAAAAUACCAUUCAAAUAACCAUCCUUUCCAAAAUAGCACUCUAGUUUAGUUUUCCAUGCCAAAAAGCCCAUGUGACAUCCGUACGUCCGGUAUCGUGUCAUAUGGUAGGCCC